GUGGGGGCAAAGGCAGUGACGUAACAACUUCACUCUAGGUAUUGAAAGAGGAUGUGAGAAGCAUCCGGGGGCAAUAGUACAAAAGGGCGAAGCAACAGAAGAGAAAUAAUCUGGGAAGCACAGCAGCCUUGGGCAUGCAACAGUGUUUUCCAUUUUAUUAUUUAUUAUCCUGGAGUUAUGCAGGAUUUCUAUUUGCUAGGAGAGGUAUUAGUAAUAGGAAUUUCUUUGAGUGAUUUGGAGGUGAACAAAUCUUUUCUUUUCUGUGAGCUACAGUGGUUACUGCUCUGAAUUUUGAGUGACUGACCAACUACCGGCUUCUCAUCCAUCUACCUUUUGGAAGAAAUAAGGCUUUUAAAAAUCAACUUAUGGUCUAACAUCAGAGAUGAGCAAUUCAUGAUGCUUUUUCUUUUCUUUUUUUUUUUUUUCAGACAACUUCUUACUUUGUUGCCCAGGCUGAAGUGCAGUGAUGCGAUCACGGCUCACUGCAGCCUCGACCUCCCAGGCUCAAGCGAUCCUCCCACCUCAACAUCCCAAGUAGCUGGGACUCCAAACGCGUGCCACUAUGCCCGGCUAAGUUUUGUAUUUUUAGUAGAGAUGGAGUUUUGCCAUGUUGCCCCGGCUGGUCUCGGACUCCUGGGCUCAAGCAAUCUGCCUGCCUCUGUCUCCUGAAGUGUUGUGAUUACAGGCAUGAGCCACCGCACCUGGCCAAGAUGCUUUUUCUGUUUCUGAGAUACAAUGAACUAUAUCUUAAGAAUUCAUAAAGCCCUAAAAAGUAAAUAUUUACAACCAGAAAUCUUUCUGACAAAGAAACAAGAUUACUCAAAGAGAAUUCCAUGCAUGGAGAUUCAAAUAAAGACAAAAGGGAGAUGCAACUAUGGAGGCUGAGAAGUCCCACCAUCGGAGCGCCUCUGCCCCGCCGCCCCAUCUGGGAUGUGAGGAGCGCCUCUGCCCGGCCGAGACCCCGUCUGGGAGGUGAGGAGCGUCUCUGCCCGGCCGCCCCGUCUGAGAAGUGAGGAGACCCUCUGCCUGGCAACCACCCCGUCUGAGAAGUGAGGAGCCCCUCCGCCCGGCAGCUGCCCCGUCUGAGAAGUGAGGAGCCUCUCCGCCCGGCAGCCACCCCAUCUGGGAAGUGAGGAGCGUCUCCGCCCGGCAGCCACCCCGUCCGGGAGGGAGGUGGGGGGGGGUCAGCCCCCCGCCCGGCCAGCCGCCCCAUCCGGGAGGGAGGUGGGGGGUCAGCCCCCCCGCCCGGCCAGCCGUGCCAUCCGGGAGGGAGGUGGGGGGGUCAGCCCCCCGCCUGGCCAGCCGUGCCGUCCGGGAGGGAGGUGGGGGGGUCAGCCCCCCGUCCGGCCAGCCGCCCCGUCCGGGAGGUGAGGGGCGCCUCUGCCCGGCCGCCCCUACUGGGAAGUGAGGAGCCCCUCAGCCCGGCCAGCCACCCCGUCCGGGAGGGAGAUGGGGGGGUCAGCCCCCCCACCCGGCCAGCCGCCCCGUCCGGGAGGGAGGUAGGGGGGUCAGCCCCCCGCCUGGCCAGCCGCCCCGUCCGGGAGGGAGGUGGGGGGGUCAGCCCUCCGCCCGGCCAGCCGCCCCGUCUGGGAGGUGAGGGGCGCCUCUGCCCAGCCGCCCCUACUGGGAAGUGAGG
rnacentral:lncRNA from 10 species